CCUACGGGAGGCAGCAGUGAGGAAUAUUGGUCAAUGGUCGGGAGACUGAACCAGCCAAGCCGCGUGAGGGAUGAAGGUACAGAGUAUCGUAAACCUCUUUUGUCAGGGAACAAAGGCGGGGACGCGUCCCCGGAUGAGUGUACCUGAAGAAAAAGCAUCGGCUAACUCGGUGCCAGCAGCCGCGGUAAUACGGAGGAUGCGAGCGUUAUCCGGAUUUAUUGGGUUUAAGGGGUGCGCAGGCGGUCUGUUAAGUCAGCGGUAAAAGCCCGGGGCACAACCCCGGCCCGCCGUUGAAACUGGCAGUCUCGAGUUGGAGAGAAGUAAGCGGAAUGCGCGGUGUAGCGGUGAAAUGCAUAGAUAUCGCGCAGAACUCCGAUGGCGAAGGCAGCAUGCCGGCUCCACACUGACGCUGAGGCACGAAAGCGUGGGUAUCGAACAGGAUUAGAUACCCCAGUAGUC
rnacentral:rRNA from 1 species